rnacentral:rRNA from 1 species
CAUAAUCAUUAGUCUCUUAAUUGGUGACUUGUAUGAAGGAUUGGAUGAGAUAUAAACUGUCUUAAAAUUAAAGUAAAUUGAAUUUAAUUUUUUAAUUAAAAAGUUAAAAUAAAUUAAAAAGACGAGAAGACCCUAUAGAGUUUUAUAUUAAUUUAAAUUUAAUUUAUUUAUAAAUUUAUUGAGUAUGAAUUUAUCUUAUUAUUUUGUUGGGGUGAUAAAAAAAUAAGAAAAACUUUUUUUAAAAUUAAACAUAAAUAAGUGAUUUUUUGAUCCAAUUUUAUUGAUUAUAAGAAAAAAUUACCUUAGGGAUAACAGCGUAAUUUUUUUUCUUAGUUCUUAUAAGAAGAAAAGUUUGCGACCUCGAUGUUG